UAGGCUUCAAAAGAGGCACACACAGGAAGGAUAAUAGCAUUUGGAAAGUUGAAAGACAUACUGCAUUAGCUUCUUUUAGUGCUCUAAUCACAGCUACUGUAUCUUGAUCUGCAUCUAGCAAGACCAAUACUGCAGUCUCUUGAUCCAUUUGUUUCAAAGUCGAGACAGAUCUUUUGGCGUCCCUCUUGAUCUUCUUGCUGAAAGAG
rnacentral:misc_RNA from 1 species